ACGUAAUAUCAUGUAAGGGAUGUUUUUGUAUUGAUUUGCUCGAUGUUAAAAGAUGUUAUACCUCUGUUUAAUAAUAUGCCAUUGCUUCUGUUGGCAGGUAUGUUGUGGGACAGUAUCUUCGGUUUUGAAGAGCUUAUUGGACGUUUCUAAAAGCUGUUGUGAAUAAGUUUCUUGAGUUUUUGCAUGAGACUCAUCCUGGAGUUUAGGUUAUGUUUUCUUCCUAUGUUUUAUGUCCUACUUUUUCUUAUAUCAACAGCUUAGUUUAUGUCCCUAAACGUGUGCCUAUGUUUGUGUGCUCUGCGUGCUCAUUUAUGUGUGCUCCAUGUCUGUGCUCUGUGUUGUGUGCCUUUGUUUUCCUUUGAGUCCUUGUGUGUGCAUGUUGUGUUUUGUAUGUGUUUCUAUGUGCGUGUAUCUGUCUUUUUUGUGUUCACAGGUGGCAACCCUUCAGUUUAGGAACUCUAUCAAUAUUCUUGAGGCAUAUUCAUAUGGUUCAAGUGAGGAACAAGGUAUCAUGCAGAAUUUUGCAUUGUUCUUCACCUCAUUUUGCGAGGCAGGUUCACAUUUGAAUUCUGGAAUCUAAUAAAGAGAUUACAUCUGCUUUGCUUUUGGGUCUUGAAUGUCUUAUUAACGUCCCAUAUAUAGAUGAUACCGAUGAUUUUAAGGUGGCAGUCCUUUAGUUUGGGAACACUACCAAUAUUCUUGAGGCAUAUUCAUAUGGUUCAAGUGAGGAACAAGCUAUCAUACAAAAUUUUGCACCGUUCCUGACCUCAUUUUAUAAGGCAGAUUUCAGCUUUGGAAUUUCAAACAUGGGCACAGUUUUGACGCAUGUAAAGACAAUCUCAAGAAGCUUCAAUAGUGAUACUAUGCAGGCCUCCAUAUACUUACAUGAAGGUAGGCGACACUACUUGUAUACCUGGUCUUCUUUUGACACGAAAGUUGCUGCUAUGUCUAGUCAUUGAAGACUCUCUUCAUACUUAGUUCAUACUAAUGUUUACUCAUAAGUACAGG